rnacentral:rRNA from 1 species
AGCAGCCGCGGUAAUUCCAGCUCCAAUAGCGUAUAUUAAAGUUGUUGCAGUUAAAAAGCUCGUAGUUGAAUUUCGGGGUUGGUAGGUUGGUCAUGCCUCUGGUAUGUACUGGUCUCACUGAUUCCUCCUUCCUGAUGAACCUUAAUGCCAUUAAUUUGGUGUUUUGGGGAAUUUGGACUGUUACUUUGAAAAAAUUAGAGUGUUUAAAGCAAGCUAACGCUUGAAUACAUUAGCAUGGAAUAAUGAAAUAGGACGUUCGAUCCUAUUUUGUUGGUUUCUAGGAUUGACGUAAUGAUUAAUAGGGAUAGUUGGGGGCAUUAGUAUUCAAUUGUCAGAGGUGAAAUUCUUGGAUUUAUUGAAGACUAACUACUGCGAAAGCAUUUGCCAAGGAUGUUUUCAUUAAUCAAGAACGAAAGUUAGGGGAUCGAAGACGAUCAGAUACCGUCGUAGUCUUAACCAUAAACUAUGCCGACUAGGGAUCGGAUGAUGUUAAUUUUUUAAUGACUCAUUCGGCGCCUUACG